rnacentral:rRNA from 1 species
GACAGAGGGGCAAGCGUUGCUCGGAAUCACUGGGCGUAAAGGGCGCGUAGGCGGCUUUUCAAGUCGAUUGUGAAAUCCCCGGGCUUAACCUGGGAACUGCAGUCGAGACUGUCUAGCUAGAGUAUGGGAGAGGGAAGUGGAAUUUCAGGUGUAGCGGUGAAAUGCGUAGAUAUCUGGAGGAACACCGGUGGCGAAGGCGACAUCCUGGACCGGCAUUGACGCUGAGGCGCGAAAGCCAGGGGAGCAAACGGGG